GAGGAAGAUUUGAAUUUAGAACCAGAAUUGGUAGAAUCCAUAUUAGAUAAUGCAAUAAAUGAUCAAUUGGAUGGACUAGAGGAAAUAGUAACUUUGUAGAAUUUUGUUAAGUAGUUUUUAGAUAAGUAACAAUUGUAUGUUUGCGAGGACGCUGCACAGAUAGGAGUAGGACUAUGUAGAAUAGAUAUUAAUUUGUUUCCAUAAGAUAUUGAUAAAAUACACUAAUAGUCUAUAGAAUAGUCAGUUUAAGAGGACGGAUGGUUAACUUAUUAAUUAAAAGCGGUUAUUUACAAGAUUACAAUUAGAAUCUAAGAAUAGGGAGUAAGUAUAUAGGAGUUGUAGAAGUUAGUUUGAGUGCCAGAUUGUGAUAGUCAUGAGCAGGGGUAAGCUUAGUGCUACUUCUUUGUUUCUUUAUUUUUUUGUUUUUGAAAAGUAAUGGAUAGUUUUUGAAUACUGAGAAGUCAGUCUGUGGAAUAAAUUAGAGAUUGAUUUAUGAAUUAUUAAUUAUGUAAUUAGAACAUUGAGUGAUUGAAUUGUAUGAGGAGUUAUUGAAAGAUUAUGAUUGUUGUUUAUUGAGAGCUGUGUAUAUUUUGAUAGAGGAAGUCUAUGAUUACAAAAAUUAUGUGAAUUGAGAUUGAUUGGAGUGAAGUCUAUUAUUUCUUGUGUUAGAUGAAAUUAUUGUGUUUUGAGUGGUCUUUUGAGAGUGCAUGGUUACACAAUGUUGUUAUCAGUUGAUGAAGAAAUAUUGUUACUGGGAGAAAGCAUUGUAGUAUCUUUUGGUAUUUUAGUGGUUUGGAAUAUGAUUAAUUGUGUGAUCUUAAUAAGUAAAAUUCAUGCACUUAGUCUUUUCUU
rnacentral:lncRNA from 1 species